AAACAGACUUCAGAUAGAGUAUUAGGGAACAUUAAGGUCUAUGUAAAAGAGGACUGAAUACAGUAGUAGGGGAACACUAGGCUAUAUAAAAACAUUUCAAAGGCACAUUUCA